GUGGGGAAUCUUAGACAAUGGGGGAAACCCUGAUCUAGCCAUGCCGCGUGAGCGAUGAAGGCCUUAGGGUUGUAAAGCUCUUUCAGCUGGGAAGAUAAUGACGGUACCAGCAGAAGAAGCCCCGGCUAACUCCGUGCCAGCAGCCGCGGUAAUACGGAGGGGGCUAGCGUUGUUCGGAAUUACUGGGCGUAAAGCGCGCGUAGGCGGACCAGAAAGUUGGAGGUGAAAUCCCAGGUCUCAACCUUGGAACUGCCUUCAAAACUCCUGGUCUGGAGUUCGAGAGAGGUGAGUGGAUUUCCGAGUGUAGAGGUGAAAUUCGUAGAUAUUCGGAGGAACACCAGUGGCGAAGGCGGCUCACUGGCUCGAUACUGACGCUGAGGUGCGAAAGCGUGGGGAGCAAACAGGAUUAGAAACCCUUGUAGUCC
rnacentral:rRNA from 1 species